AGCCUAAGUAGUGACUCUUUAGCUGGCAAAAGACCACAAGGAGGUAAACCAGUCGAGGUUACCCAUAGCAGACUGAUUCAAACCAAGAGGGCGGAGAUUUGAACUUGUAACCUCGUGGUUACAAGUUUGUAUCCUCCAUCUUGGUUGGAGUUACCCCUCCUUCCUCCUUUCUUUAAUUUUCAUUGAGAUAAAGACAGUAAAAUUCAGAUUUAUUUAUUGUCCGGUAAUUGUACAUUACCCCCAUUUUUACUACUUAAAAAGAAUGAUUAGCCAAUAAAUUAACUCCAUGUCCUCAUUUAGAUC